CCUACGGGAGGCUGCAGUAGGGAAUAUUGCUCAAUGGGGGAAACCCUGAAGCAGCAACGCCGCGUGGAGGAUGAAGGUUUUCGGAUUGUAAACUCCUUUUGUUAGAGAAGAUAAUGACGGUAUCUAACGAAUAAGCCCCGGCUAACUCCGUGCCAGCAGCCGCGGUAAUACGGAGGGUGCAAGCGUUACGCGGAAUCACUGGGCGUAAAGAGCGCGUAGGCGGGAUAGCAAGUCAGAUGUGAAAUCCUAGGGCUUAACCAUAGAACUGCAUUUGAAACUGUUAUUCUAGAGUAUGGGAGAGGUAGGUGGAAUUCUUGGUGUAGGGGUAAAAUCCGUAGAGAUCAAGAGGAAUACUCAUUGCGAAGGCGACCUGCUAGAACAUAACUGACGCUGAUGCGCGAAAGCGUGGGGAGCAAACAGGAUUAGAUACCCUAGUAGUC
rnacentral:rRNA from 1 species